rnacentral:rRNA from 1 species
CAAGUCAAGGGGGCCCAGCAAUGGGCAGCCGGCGAACGGGUGCGUAACACGUGAGCAACCUACCGAACUGUGGGGGAUAGCCGGCCUAACGGCCGAGUAAUACCGCAUACGCUUUCAUUGAGGCAUUUCAGUGAAAGGAAACCUACGGGACAGAUCGAGGGGCUCGCGGCCUAUCAGCUAGUUGGCGAGGUAACGGCUCACCAAGGCGACGACGGGUAGCUGGUCUGAGAGGAUGGCCAGCCACAUUGGGACUGAGAUACGGCCCAGACUCCUACGGGAGGCAGCAGUGGGGAAUCUUGCGCAAUGGCCUAACGGCUGACGCAGCGACGCCGCGUGUGGGAUGAAGCUCCUCGGAGUGUAAACCACUGUUGCCCGGGACGAAUAGCUCGAUUAAUCGAGCCUGACGGUACCGGGUGAGGAAGCACCGGCUAACUCCGUGCCAGCAGCCGCGGUAAUACGGGGGGUGCGAGCGUUGUCCGGAAUCACUGGGCGUAAAGGGCGCGUAGGUGGUUUGAUAAGGGUGUGGUGAAAGUCCGGAGCUCAACUCCGGAUCUGCCGUGCCGACUGUCAAACUCGAGGGCUGUAGAGGCAGACGGAAUUCCGGGUGUAGCGGUGGAAUGCGUAGAGAUCCGGAGGAAGACCGGUGGCGAAGGCGGUCUGCUGGGCAGUUUCUGACACUGAGGCGCGACAGCGUGGGGAGCAAACAGGAUUAGAUACCCUGGUAGUCCACGCCAUAAACGAUGGGUACUAGGUGCCUGGGGGA